rnacentral:rRNA from 1 species
GACGAACGCUGGCGGCGUGCUUAACACAUGCAAGUCGAACGGUAAGGCCCUUCGGGGUACACGAGUGGCGAACGGGUGAGUAACACGUGGGUGAUCUGCCCUGCACUUCGGGAUAAGCCUGGGAAACUGGGUCUAAUACCGGAUAGGACCCUGGGAUGCAUGUCCUGGGGUGGAAAGCUUUUGCGGUGUGGGAUGGGCCCGCGGCCUAUCAGCUUGUUGGUGGGGUGAUGGCCUACCAAGGCGACGGCGGGUAGCCGGCCUGAGAGGGUGACCGGCCACACGUGGAAUGAGCAACGGCCCAGACUCCUACGGGAGGCAGCAGUGUGGAAUAUUGCACAAUGGGCGCAAGCCUGAUGCAGCGACGCCGCGUGAGGGAUGACGGCCUUCGGGUUGUAAACCUCUUUCAGCACCGACGAAGCGCAAGUGACGGUAGGUGCAGAAGAAGGACCGGCCAACUACGUGCCAGCCGCCGCAGUAA